AUUGAACGCUGGCGGCAUGCCUUACACAUGCAAGUCGAACGGCAGCACGGGUGCUUGCACCUGGUGGCGAGUGGCGAACGGGUGAGUAAUACAUCGGAACAUGUCCUGUAGUGGGGGAUAGCCCGGCGAAAGCCGGAUUAAUACCGCAUACGAUCUACGGAUGAAAGCGGGGGACCUUCGGGCCUCGCGCUAUAGGGUUGGCCGAUGGCUGAUUAGCUAGUUGGUGGGGUAAAGGCCUACCAAGGCGACGAUCAGUAGCUUGUCUGAGAGGACGACCAGCCACACUGGGACUGAGACACGGCCCAGACUCCUACGGGAGGCAGCAGUGGGGAAUUUUGGACAAUGGGCGAAAGCCUGAUCCAGCAAUGCCGCGUGUGUGAAGAAGGCCUUCGGGUUGUAAAGCACUUUUGUCCGGAAAGAAAUCCUUGGCCCUAAUACGGUCGGGGGAUGACGGUACCGGAAGAAUAAGCACCGGCUAACUACGUG
rnacentral:rRNA from 1 species